UUGAACGCUGGCGGCAUGCUUUACACAUGCAAGUCGAACGGCAGCGGGGGCUUCGGCCCGCCGGCGAGUGGCGAACGGGUGAGUAAUGCAUCGGAACGUACCCAGUCGUGGGGGAUAACUACGCGAAAGCGUAGCUAAUACCGCAUACGCCCUGAGGGGGAAAGCGGGGGACCUUCGGACCUUGCGCUUUAGGAGCGGCCGAUGUCGGAUUAGCUAGUUGGUGAGGUAAAGGCUCACCAAGGCGACGAUCCGUAGCGGGUCUGAGAGGAUGAUCCGCCACACUGGGACUGAGACACGGCCCAGACUCCUACGGGAGGCAGCAGUGGGGAAUUUUGGACAAUGGGCGCAAGCCUGAUCCAGCCAUGCCGCGUGAGUGAAGAAGGCCUUCGGGUUGUAAAGCUCUUUCGGCGGGGAAGAAAUCGCACGGGUUAAUACCUCGUGUGGAUGACGGUACCCGAAUAAGAAGCACCGGCUAACUACGU
rnacentral:rRNA from 1 species